ensembl:lncRNA
UCUGACGUGGUUUUCCCGUGUGACGUGGUUUCCUGUGUGACGUGGUUUCUGUGUGACGUGGUUUCGUCUGACGUGGUUUCCCGUGUGACGUGGUUUCCUGUGUGACGUGGUUUCCGUGUGACGUGGUUUCCUGUGCGUGGUUUCUGUGUGACGUGGUUUCCCGUGACGUGGUUUCCGUCUAACCUGGUUUCCUGUGUGUGACGUGGUUUCCUGGUGUGUGACGUGGUUUCCCGUGACGUGGUUUCCUGUGUGUGACGUGGUUUCCCGUGACGUGGGUUUCCUGUGUGUGACGUGGUUUCCUGUGUGUGAACGUGGUUUCCGUGACGUGGUUUCCUGUGUGUGACGUGGUUUCCUGUGUGUGACGUGGUUUCCUGUGACGUGGUUUCCUGUGACGUGGUUUCCUGUCUGACGUGGUUUCUGUGACGUGGUUUCCUGUGACGUGGUUUCCUGUCUGACGUGGUUUCCUGUGACGUGUUUCCUGUGUGUGACGUGGUUUCCUGUGACGUGGUUUCCUGUCUGACGUGGUUUCUGUGACGUGGUUUCCUGUGACGUGGUUCCCGUGUGACGUGGUUUCCUGUGACGUGGUUUCCUGUGAACGUGGUUUCCUGUCUGACGUGGUUCCCGUGUGACGUGGUUUCCUGUGACGUGGUUUCCUGUCUGACGUGGUUUCCUGUGACGUGGUUUCCUGUGUGUGACGUGGUUUCCUGUGACGUGGUUCCCUGUGACGUGGUUUCCUGUGACGUGGUUUCCCGUCUAACCUGGUUUCCUGUGUGUGACGUGGUUUCCUGUGACGUGGUUUCCUGUGUGACGUGGUUUCCUGUGAUGUGGUUUCCCGUGUGACGUGGUUUCCUGUGCGUGGUUUCUGCGUGACGUGGUUUCCUGUCUGACGUGGUUUCCCGUGUGACGUGGUUUCCUGUGAUGUGGUUUCCGUGUGACGUGGUUUCCCGUGACGUGGUUUCCUGUGACGUGGUUUCCCGUCUAACCUGGUUUCCUGUGUGUGACGUGGUUUCCCGUGACGUGGUUUCCUGUCUGACGUGGUUUCCUGUGUGACGUGGUUUCCCGUGUGACGUGGUUUCCUGUGCGUGGUUUCUGUGUGACGUGGUUUCCUGUCUGACGUGGUUUCCCGUGUGACGUGCAUUCCUGUGAUGUGGUAUCCCGUGUGACGUGGGUUCCCGUG